rnacentral:rRNA from 1 species
CCUACGGGUGACAGCAGUAGGGAAUCUUUCACAAUGGGCGAAAGCCUGAUGGAGCAACGCCGCGUGCAGGAUGCAGGCCUUCGGGUUGUAAACUGCUUUUAUAAGCGAGAAAUAUGAUGGUAACUUAUGAAUAAGGAUCGGCUAACUACGUGCCAGCAGCCGCGGUCAUACGUAGGAUCCGAGCAUUAUCCGGAGUGACUGGGUGUAAAGAGUUGCGUAGGUGGCAUAAUAAGUAGCUAGUGAAAUCUGGUGGCUCAACCAUUCAGACUAUUAGCUAAACUGUUAAGCUCGAGACCGUUAGGGGUAACUGGAAUUUCUAGUGUAGGAGUGAAAUCCGUAGAUAUUAGAAGGAACACCAAUAGCGUAGGCAGGUUGCUGGGACGGUUCUGACACUAAGGCACGAAAGCGUAGGGAGCAAACGGGAUUAGAUACCCCUGUAGUC